CAGUCGCCGCGGUAAUACGGAGGGUGCAAGCGUUAAUCGGAAUUACUGGGCGUAGAGCGCACGCAGGCGGUUUGUUAAGUCAGAUGUGAAAUCCCCGAGCUUAACUUGGGAACUGCAUUUGAAACUGGCAAGCUAGAGUCUUGUAGAGGGGGGUAGAAUUCCAGGUGUAGCGGUGAAAUGCGUAGAGAUCUGGAGGAAUACCGGUGGUGAAGGCGGCCCCCUGGACAAAGACUGACGCUCAGGUGCGAAAGCGUGGGGAGCAAACAGGAUUAGAUACCCGCGUAGUCCCUGUCUCUUAUAC
rnacentral:rRNA from 1 species